rnacentral:tRNA from 2 species
AGCGGGUUCGUCUAAUGGUAGGACGCCGGUCUCUAAAACCGUUAUUCCCUCUGAAGGGGUUGUCUGGGUUCGAAUCCCAGACCCGCUG